AUUGAACGCUGGCGGCAUGCUUUACACAUACAAGUCGAACGGUAACAGGGUGCUUGCACCGCUGACGAGUGGCGAACGGGUGAGUAAUACAUCGGAAUGUACCCAGUAAUGGGGGAUAACGCUUCGAAAGGAGUGCUAAUACCGCAUACGCCCUGAGGGGGAAAGUGGGGGACCGCAAGGCCUCACGUUAUUGGAGCAGCCGAUGGCUGAUUAGCUAGUUGGUGAGGUAAAGGCUCACCAAGGCGACGAUCAGUAGCGGGUCUUAGAGGACGAUCCGCCACAGUGGAACGGGGACACGGUCCAGACUCCUACGGGAGGCAGCAGUGGGGAAUCUUGGACAAUGGGCGAAAGCCUGAUCCAGCAAUGCCGCGUGCGUGAAGAAGGCCUUCGGGUUGUAAAGCGCUUUUGUCUGGGAGCAAAUCCUGGCCUCUAAUACAGGUCGGGGAUGAGAGUACCAGAAGAAUAAGGACCGGCUAACUACGUGCCAGCCGCCGCCGUAAGAC
rnacentral:rRNA from 1 species